rnacentral:rRNA from 1 species
GCUGGCGGCGACACAUGCAAGUCGAACGCUGAAGCACUGUGCUUGCACGGUGUGGAUGAGUGGCGAACGGGUGAGUAACACGUGAGUAACCUGCCCCUGACUUCGGGAUAAGCUUGGGAAACUGGGUCUAAUACCGGAUGUGACUACUGGCCGCAUGGUCUGGUGGUGGAAAGGGUUUUACUGGUUGGGGAUGGACUGCUUAUCGCGGCCUAUCAGUUUGUUGGUGGGGUAGUGGCCUACCAAGACGACGACGGGUAGCCGGCCUGAGAGGGCGACCGGCCACACUGGGACUGAGACACGGCCCAGACUCCUACGGGAGGCAGCAGUGGGGAAUAUUGCACAAUGGGGGGAGCAGCGACGCCGCGUGCGGGAUGACGGCCUUCGGGUUGUAAACCGCUUUCAGUAGGGAAGAAGCGAAAGUGACGGUACCUGCAGAAGAAGUACCGGCUAAUACGUGCCAGCAGCCGCGGUAAUACGUAGGGUACAAGCUUUGUACCCUGAUCCGGAAUUAUUGGGCGUAAAGAGCUCGUAGGUGGUUGGUCGCGUCUCCUGUGGAAACGCAACGCUUAACGUUGCGCGUGCAGUGGGUACGAGCUGACUAGAGUGCAGUAGGGGAGUCUGGAAUUCCUGGUGUAGCGGUGAAAUGCGGAUAUAAGGAGGAACACCGGUGGCGAAGGCGGGACUCUGGGCUGUAACUGACGCUGAGGAGCGAAAGCAUGGGGAGCGAACAGGAUUAGAUACCCUGGUAGUCCAUGCCGUAAACGGGGAACUAGGUGUGGGGUCCGUUCCACGGAUUCCGUGCCGGAGUAACGCAUUAAGUUCCCCGCCUGGGGAGUACGGCCGCAAGGCUAAAACUCAAAGGAAUUGACGGGGGCCCUU